rnacentral:rRNA from 1 species
AUUGAACGCUGGCGGCAUGCCUUACACAUGCAAGUCGAACGGUAACGGGCCUUCGGGUGCCGACGAGUGGCGAACGGGUGAGUAAUGCAUCGGAACGUACCUUUCAGUGGGGGAUAACGUAGCGAAAGUUACGCUAAUACCGCAUAUUCUGUGAGCAGGAAAGCAGGGGAUCGCAAGACCUUGCGCUGAUUGAGCGGCCGAUGUCAGAUUAGCUAGUUGGUGAGGUAAAGGCUCACCAAGGCGACGAUCUGUAGCGGGUCUGAGAGGAUGAUCCGCCACACUGGAACUGAGACACGGUCCAGACUCCUACGGGAGGCAGCAGUGGGGAAUUUUGGGACAAUGGGCGCAAGCCUGAUCCAGCCAUGCCGCGUGAGUGAAGAAGGCCU